rnacentral:tRNA from 1 species
AGCCUUAUAGUGUACAACAUAUCAAAUUGCAAAUUUGAAGAUGCAGGUAACUCCUUGCUUAGGCUU